rnacentral:rRNA from 1 species
GAUGAACGCUGGCGGCGUGCCUAAUACAUGCAAGUCGAGCGAACAGACGAGGAGCUUGCUCCUUUGACGUUAGCGGCGGACGGGUGAGUAACACGUGGAUAACCUACCUCUAUGACUGGGAUAACUUCGGGAAACCGGAGCUAAUACUGGAUAAUAUAUUGAACCGCAUGGUUCAAUAGUGAAAGACGGUUUUGCUGUCACUUAUAGAUGAAUCCGCGCCGGAUUAGCUAGUUGGUAAGGUAACGGCUUACCAAGGCGACGAUGCGUAGCCGACCUGAGAGGGUGAUCGGCCACACUGGAACUGAGACACGGUCCAGACUCCUACGGGAGGCAGCAGUAGGGAAUCUUCCGCAAUGGGCGAAAGCCUGACGGAGCAACGCCGCGUGAGUGAUGAAGGUCUUCGGAUCGUAAAACUCUGUUAUUAGGGAAGAACAAAUGUGUAAGUAACUAUGCACGUCUUGACGGUACCUAAUGAGAAAGCCACGGCUAACUACGUG